rnacentral:rRNA from 1 species
AUUGAACGCUGGCGGCAUGCCUUACACAUGCAAGUCGAACGGUAACAGGUCUUCGGAUGCUGACGAGUGGCGAACGGGUGAGUAAUACAUCGGAACGUGCCCGAGAGUGGGGGAUAACGAGGCGAAAGCUUUGCUAAUACCGCAUACGAUCCCAGGAUGAAAGCAGGGGACCGCAAGGCCUUGCGCCCACGGAGCGGCCGAUGGCAGAUUAGGUAGUUGGUGGGAUAAAAGCUUACCAAGCCGACGAUCUGUAGCUGGUCUGAGAGGACGUCCAGCCACACUGGGACUGGGACACGGCCCAGACUCCUACGGGAGGCAGCAGUGGGGAAUUUUGGACAAUGGGCGCAAGCCUGAUCCAGCCAUGCCGCGUGCAGGAUGAAGGCCUUCGGGUUGUAAACUGCUUUUGUACGGAACGAAAAGACUCCUUCUAAUAAAGGGGGUCCAUGACGGUACCGUAAGAAUAAGCACCGGCUAACUACGUGCCAGCCGCCGCGGUAAUAC